UAGUGGACGGGACGCUCCUUCAAAAACAACAGUUAGUCAGACACCUCGGUAGCUUUCUAGCAAACAUAGCUACAACAUUCACGCUCUUUACACUGUUUUGGUGUAUAUUAGUCGCUGUGUUUUGAACACACUUCUGUGGUAUGUGCUUGUUGGCCUAUUUAAUUAUAUAAUUACGUUGUUUGUCAGCUAGCUGGUUUGCUAAAUUAGCUUAGAACUAGGCUAGUCGCUAAUGCUAGCUAGCGAACAUCCCCGACCAUGAGUUCACUAAGCUACUCUCCUCCUGCUAAAAAAGAGGUCUUCUGGACGGAGAAAGAAGCUCAUCUGAAAGAGAAGGAUGAGGAGAAGGAUGUUACAAUACAAAAACAAGUAGAGGGUGAAGCUGUUACCGUGAUAGAAGAAGAAAAAAACGUUUCUGUGGAAGAAAAGGAAGACUCGUUCAGAGUGAAAGAGGAGGAGGAUGUUACAGUAAAAGAAGAGGAGGCUGAGAGAGGAGGAUGCAGUUUUUGGAGUGAAAGAGGAGGAGGGGGAGAUGACUGUCACAUCGAAAAAGGAGGAGAACGACGAAGAGGAGGAAACUGGACAUCUGGGCCCAGUUUCCCAAAGGCAUCUUAAGGCAUCCUAUGGUUCGGAGGUGAACUUAUCCGUAAGAUGGUUUUGAGAAACAGGGCCGUGAUUAACAUUAGACAGAGACGUGACUAUCGUGGAUCCUCUGGGGAGCCUCAACAACAUUAUGAAGCUGACGAGGCAGAGACGAGUCCCUCCCGAUCAGAACACCACAAGAAACACCAGAGGAGACCCACAGGGAAGAAAUCUCACUGCUGCUCUGACUGUGGGAAGAGUUACUUAAGAUCAAAUUCACUAAAGGUACACAUGAGAAUUCACACAGGAGAGAAACGUUAUAGCUGUGAUCAAUGUGGAAAGAGUUUUACUACACCUAGCCAUCGGAUUGUACACCAGAGAACACACACAGGAGACAAAUUGUAUAGCUGUGAUCAAUGUGGGAAGAGUUUAACUCAGUCAAGCAGCCUGUUAUCUGCACCAGAGAAAACACACAGGAGAGAAACUUUUAGCUGUUAUCAAUGUGUGAAAAGUUUUACUCAGUCAAGCAACCUGGUAUCACACCAGAGAACACACACAGGAGAGAAACCGUAUAGUAGUGAACAAUGUGGGAAGAGUUUUACUACAUCUAGCCAUCUGAUUAUACACCAGCGAACACACACAGGAGAGAAACCUUUUAGCUGUGAUCAAUGUGGGAAGAGUUUUACUACAUCCAGCCAUCUGAUUAUACACCAGAGAACACACCCAGGAGAUCAAUCUUAUAGCUGUGAUCAAUGUGGGAAGAGUUUUACUACAUCUAGCUAUCUGACUAUACACCAGAGAACACACACAGGAGAGAAACCUCAUAGCUGUGAUCAAUGUGACAAGCGAUACUCUGAUAAAAGAUCUCUGAUCAAACAUCAGAAAAUACAUUAAUGAAGGAGUUGUUUCAUGAUAUCAAUGAAAUGAUGUCACAAUGUAGAAUGUUUUACCAUUGUAGUAGGAGUAUUUUAAUGAUAUCACAAUGUACAAUGUUUUCACAUUGUAGUAGGAGUAUUUUAAUGAUGUCACAAUGUAGAUUGUUUUCACAUUGUAGUAGGAGUAUUUUAAUAAUGUCACAAUGUAGAAUGUUUUAACAUUGUAGAAGGAGUAUUUUAAUGAUGUCACAAUGUAGAACACUAAACGUUUGCCCCCUGUUCAGUUGAUUUCAGCAUGAUAUGGAUAUUAGCCUCAUGGAAAAAUCCAGGCUCUGAAUUGAAAGUACUAUUUAUGUGAUGUAACAAAAAGUGACUAACAAAAAUAUAGCUGUGUUACACUUACAGCAUUGGUGACCCACUUGAAUCAAAAUGUAGCUAGGAGUUUUCUACAAGUUGUCCUCUAACCAGUGAUGUACACAUUAUUCCCAGAUUCCAUCUGGUUUUUGAGCUGUUAGUUUUAACAUGACAUGCAACCUCAUCUCCCCACUCUCACGCAAAUGAUUUCAACAUGAUAUCGAUGAGUGAUGAAAAAUAACUGUUGCGUUCCUUUGUUUAGCGACCUCUAAAUUGAAAGGCAUCACUCCAAAAUGUAGCUGACUGUCUUCUGCAGGUUGUCCUCUAACCAGUGAGGUAAAAUAUAUCUCCCAUUUCCAUGUGUUUGUUUAGUUGUGUUAGUUUCAACAGCACAUACAACCUGAUUUCCCCCCUAAUUGAUAUCAGUGAUUUAUUGCUACUUGUCAAAACAACAGUGUUUCUGGUGCUUGUGCAUUUUAAAAGGUGCUUGUUUUAAAAAAUACAAGUAAUAUGAUUA